rnacentral:rRNA from 1 species
AAGAUUAAACUCAAAGGANUGACGGGGACCCGCACAAGCCGUGGAUGAUGUGGAUUAAUUCGAUGCAACGCGAAAAACCNUUACCUACCCUUGACAUGGCUGGAAUCCCGGAGAGAUUUGGGAGUGCUCGAAAGAGAACCAGUACACAGGUGCUGCAUGGCUGUCGUCAGCUCGUGUCGUGAGAUGUUGGGUUAAGUCCCGCAACGAGCGCAACCCUUGUCAUUAGUUGCUACGAAAGGGCACUCUAAUGAGACUGCCGGUGACAAACCGGAGGAAGGUGGGGAUGACGUCAAGUCCUCAUGGCCCUUAUGGGUAGGGCUUCACACGUCAUACAAUGGUACAUACAGAGCGCCGCCAACCCGCGAGGGGGAGCUAAUCGCAGAAAGUGUAUCGUAGUCCGGAUUGUAGUCUGCAACUCGACUGCAUGAAGUUGGAAUCGCUAGUAAUCGCGGAUCAGCAUGUCGCGGUGAAUACGUUCCCGGGUCUUGUACACACCGCCCGUCACACCAUGGGAGCGGGUUU